UACGUAGGGUGCAAGCGUUGUCCGGAAUUAUUGGGCGUAAAGAGCUUGUAGGCGGUUUGUCGCGUCUGCUGUGAAAUUUCGGGGCUCAACCCCGAACUUGCAGUGGGUACGGGCAGACUAGAGUGUGGUAGGGGAGACUGGAAUUCCUGGUGUAGCGGUGAAAUGCGCAGAUAUCAGGAGGAACACCGAUGGCGAAGGCAGGUCUCUGGGCCACUACUGACGCUCAUGCACGAAAGCGUGGGGAGCAAACAGG
rnacentral:rRNA from 1 species